rnacentral:rRNA from 1 species
UACUAAUUUUUCCCGCUUUAAUCGGAAUUACUGGGCGUAAAGCGCGCGUAGGUGGUUCGUUAAGUUGGAUGUGAAAGCCCCGGGCUCAACCUGGGAACUGCAUCCAAAACUGGCGAGCUAGAGUAUGGCAGAGGGUGGUGGAAUUUCCUGUGUAGCGGUGAAAUGCGUAGAUAUAGGAAGGAACACCAGUGGCGAAGGCGACCACCUGGGCUAAUACUGACACGGAGGUGCGAAAGCGUGGGGAGCACACAGGAGGCGAUAACCCCGUAGUCC